rnacentral:rRNA from 1 species
ACGGGUGAGUAAUGCCUAGGAAUCUGCCUGGUAGUGGGGGACAACGUUUCGAAAGGAACGCUAAUACCGCAUACGUCCUACGGGAGAAAGCAGGGGACCUUCGGGCCUUGCGCUAUCAGAUGAGCCUAGGUCGGAUUAGCUAGUUGGUGAGGUAAUGGCUCACCAAGGCGACGAUCCGUAACUGGUCUGAGAGGAUGAUCAGUCACACUGGAACUGAGACACGGUCCAGACUCCUACGGGAGGCAGCAGUGGGGAAUAUUGGACAAUGGGCGAAAGCCUGAUCCAGCCAUGCCGCGUGUGUGAAGAAGGUCUUCGGAUUGUAAAGCACUUUAAGUUGGGAGGAAGGGUUGUAGAUUAAUACUCUGCAAUUUUGACGUUACCGACAGAAUAAGCACCGGCUAACUCUGUGCCAGCAGCCGCGGUAAUACAGAGGGUGCAAGCGUUAAUCGGAAUUACUGGGCGUAAAGCGCGCGUAGGUGGUUCGUUAAGUUGGAUGUGAAAUCCCCGGGCUCAACCUGGGAACUGCAUCCCAAAACUGGCGAGCUAGAGUAUGGUAGAGGGUGGUGGGAAUUUCCUGUGUAGCGGUG